rnacentral:rRNA from 1 species
AACGAACGCUGGCGGCGCGUCUUAAGCAUGCAAGUCGUACGGCAAGUGGUAGCAAUACCACCUAGAGUGGCGGACUAGUGAGUAACGCGUGGGUGACCUACCUUGAGGUUGGGGAUAGCCGAUAGAAAUAUUGGGUAAUACCGGAUAGCCUUAUUGAGCUAUAGUUUAAUAAGGAAAGGAGCUUAGGCUUUGCCUUGAGAUGGGCUCGCGUCCCAUUAGGUAGUUGGUGAGGUAAAGGCUCACCAAGCCAGAGAUGGGUAACCGGCCUGAGAGGGUGGACGGUCACAUUGGGACUGAGAUACGGCCCAAACUCCUACGGGAGGCAGCAGCUAAGAAUAUUCCGCAAUGGGCGAAAGCCUGACGGAGCGACGCCGCGUGGACGAAGAAGGCCGAAAGGUUGUAAAGUUCUUUUAUGUGUGAAGAAUAAGUGCGGUAGGGAAUGACUGUAUGAUGACGGUAACACAUGAAUAAGCCCCGGCUAAUUACGUGCCAGCAGCCGCGGUAACACGUAAGGGGCGAGCGUUGUUCGGAAUUAUUGGGCGUAAAGGGCAUGUAGGCGGCUGCAUAAGUCUGGUGUGAAAGGCAGGGGCUCAACUCCUGGACUGCGCCGGAAACUGUGCGGCUAGAAUCACUGAGGGGCAACUGGAAUUCCGAGUGUAGGGGUGAAAUCUGUAGAUAUUCGGAAGAACACCGGAGGCGAAGGCGGGUUACCAGCAGAUGAUUGACGCUGAGGUGCGAAAGUGCGGGGAGCGAACAGGAUUAGAUACCCUGGUAGUCCGCACUAUAAACGAUGCACACUAGGUGUUGGGCUAGAUAGUUCAGUGCCGGAGUUAACGUGAUAAGUGUGCCGCCUGGGGAGUAUGCUCGCAAGGGUGAAACUCAAAGGAAUUGACGGGGGCCCGCACAAGCGGUGGAGCAUGUGGUUUAAUUCGAUGGUACGCGAGGAACCUUACCUGGGUUUGACAUGCAGGGAAAAGCGUCGGAGAAGGCGUGUGGUAGAGAUACCGUCCUGCACAGGUGCUGCAUGGCUGUCGUCAGCUCGUGCCGUGAGGUGUUGGGUUAAGUCCCGCAAACGAGCGCAACCCCUACUGCCAGUUACCAGCGCGUGAAGGCGGGGACUCUGGCGGAACUGCCGGUGACAAACCGGAGGAAGGUGGGGAUGACGUCAAGUCAUCAUGGCCCUUAUGUCCAGGGCUACACACGUGCUACAAUGGCAGAUACAGAGCGAAGCGGGCCUGUGAAGGUUAAGCGAAACGCGGAAAGUCUGUCGUAGUUCGGAUUGAAGUCUGAAACCCGACUUCAUGAAGUUGGAAUCGCUAGUAAUCGCACAUCAGCAUGGUGCGGUGAAUACGUUCCCGGGCUUUGUACACACCGCCCGUCACACCAUCCGAGUUGGGGAUACCCGAAGCCGGUAGUCUAACCUGAAAGGGGGGACGCUGUCGAAGGUAUGUUUAGUGAGGAGGGUG